AGUGAACGCUGGCGGUAGGCCUAACACAUGCAAGUCGAACGGCAGCACGGUAAGAGCUUGCUCUUACGGGUGGCGAGUGGCGGACGGGUGAGGAAUACAUCGGAAUCUACUUUUUCGUGGGGGAUAACGUAGGGAAACUUACGCUAAUACCGCAUACGACCUACGGGUGAAAGCAGGGGAUCUUCGGACCUUGCGCGAUUGAAUGAGCCGAUGUCGGAUUAGCUAGUUGGCGGGGUAAAGGCCCACCAAGGCGACGAUCCGUAGCUGGUCUGAGAGGAUGAUCAGCCACACUGGAACUGAGACACGGUCCAGACUCCUACGGGAGGCAGCAGUGGGGAAUAUUGGACAAUGGGCGCAAGCCUGAUCCAGCCAUACCGCGUGGGUGAAGAAGGCCUUCGGGUUGUAAAGCCCUUUUGUUGGGAAAGAAAAGCGGCAGGUUAAUACCCCGCUGUUCUGACGGUACCCAAAGAAUAAGCACCGGCUAACUUCGUG
rnacentral:rRNA from 1 species